rnacentral:rRNA from 1 species
GAUGAACGCUGGCGGCGUGCCUAAUACAUGCAAGUCGAGCGAACGGACGAGAAGCUUGCUUCUCUGAUGUUAGCGGCGGACGGGUGAGUAACACGUGGAUAACCUACCUAUAAGACUGGGAUAACUUCGGGAAACCGGAGCUAAUACCGGAUGAUAUUUUGAACCGCAUGGUUCAAAAGUGAAAGACGGUCUUGCUGUCACUUAUAGAUGGAUCGGCGCUGCAUUAGCUAGUUGGUAAGUUAACGGCCUACCAAGGCAACGAUGCAUAGCCGACCUGAGAGGGGGAUCGGCCGCACGGGAGCGGAGACACGGUCCAGGCUCCUACGGGAGGCAGCAGUAGGGAAUCUUCGGCAGUGGGCGAAAGCCUGGCGGAGCAACGCCGCGUGAGUGGUGAAGGUCUUCGGAUCGUAAAACUCUGUUAUUAGGGAAGAACAUAUGUGUAAGUAACUGUGCACAUCUUGACGGUACCUAAUCAGAAAGCCACGGCUAACUACGUG